AACUCCGGGAAACCGGGCUAAUACCGAAUAAUCCAUUUUGCUUCAUGGCAAGAUGUUGAAAGGCGGCUUCGGCUGUCACUACGAGAUGGGCCCGCGGCGUAUUAGCUAGUUGGUAGGGUAAUGGCCUACCAAGGCGACGAUACGUAGCCGACCUGAGAGGGUGAUCGGCCACACUGGGACUGAGACACGGCCCAGACUCCUACGGGAGGCAGCAGUAGGGAAUCUUCCACAAUGGACGAAAGUCUGAUGGAGCAACGCCGCGUGAGUGAAGAAGGUUUUCGGAUCGUAAAACUCUGUUGUAAGGGAAGAACACGUACGAGAGUAACUGCUCGUACCUUGACGGUACCUUAUUAGAAAGCCACGGCUA
rnacentral:rRNA from 1 species